CUUUGGUGGCGACCGGCGCACGGGUGCGUAACGCGUAUGCAACCUACCUUUAACAGGGGCAUAACACUGAGAAAUUGGUACUAAUUCCCCAUAACAUUCGAGAAGGCAUCUUCUUGGGUUAAAAACUCCGGUGGUUAAAGAUGGGCAUGCGUUGUAUUAGCUAGUUGGUGAGGUAACGGCUCACCAAGGCAACGAUACAUAGGGGGACUGAGAGGUUAACCCCCCACACUGGUACUGAGACACGGACCAG
rnacentral:rRNA from 1 species